UUGGGUCAUUAAUGCCACAUCUACAAUAACUUUUAAGCUACAUAGUUUUAAGAAGAUAUAUUUAAGACUUAGAAAAUUCAGGAUACUAUCAUCACUCUUAACAAAAAAAAUUGACAUUGGUUGGAAUAAAUAUCAAAAACUAAUUUAUAAAAUACAAACUGUGAGAGAGUCAAUGCAAAACAGAUUGCAUGAUGCAUAUUUCUUGUUCUAAUCAUGCACUACCCGGAUAUCCAUGGCUCUAAGAAUUUUUAAGUAGAUUUUACUCAUUUCCCAU